rfam:Dipodomys ordii contig_55145, whole genome shotgun sequence.
GGUGGCUCAGUGGUAGAGCACUUGCCUAGCAUGCAUGAGGCCCUGGGUUAGACUCCUUAGCACCA